rnacentral:tRNA from 1 species
GGUUCAAUGGUCUAAUGGUUAUGAUUUCUGUCUCACAUUGAGAUUCGCUCACAGAAGGUUCCCGGUUCGAUCCCGGGUUGAACCA